rnacentral:rRNA from 1 species
CAGUAGCCACGGUAAUACGAAGGGUGCAAGCGUUAAUCGGAAUUACUGGGCGUAAAGCGUGCGUAGGCGGUUUGUUAAGUCUGCUGUGAAAUCCCCGGGCUCAACCUGGGAAUGGCAGUGGAUACUGGCAAGCUAGAGUGUGUCAGAGGAUGGUGGAAUUCCCGGUGUAGCGGUGAAAUGCGUAGAGAUCGGGAGGAACAUCAGUGGCGAAGGCGGCCAUCUGGGACAACACUGACGCUGAGGCACGAAAGCGUGGGGAGCAAACAGGAUUAGAUACCCCUGUAGUCCCUGUCUCUUAUAA